GAUGAACGCUAGCGGCAGGCCUAACACAUGCAAGUCGAGGGGCAGCACGGGUGGCAACACCGGGUGGCGACCGGCGCACGGGUGAGUAACGCGUAUGCAACCUGCCCUCCGCAGGGGGAUAGCCCGCCGAAAGGCGGAUUAAUACCCCAUCGCCCCGCACCCCGGCAUCGGGGAGCGGGUAAAGGAGCGAUCCGGCGGGGGAUGGGCAUGCGUGCCAUUAGCUGGCUGGCGGGGUAACGGCCCACCAGGGCGACGAUGGCUAGGGGGCCUGAGAGGGUGGUCCCCCACACUGGUACUGAGACACGGACCAGACUCCUACGGGAGGCAGCAGUGAGGAAUAUUGGUCAAUGGGCGGAAGCCUGAACCAGCCAUGCCGCGUGCAGGAAGACGGCCCUACGGGUUGUAAACUGCUUUUCCGGGGGAAGAAUAAGGGCGCUGCGGCGCCCGAUGCCGGUACCCCGGGAAUAAGGAUCGGCUAACUCCGUGCCAGCAGCCGCCGUAAAAC
rnacentral:rRNA from 1 species